GGACCGGCUAGGAUGGCCCCCCGAAAAGCCGCUUCCCUGGCGGCCCGCCGGUCCGAUAUUUUUUCACAGGG
rnacentral:ncRNA from 20 species